AGAACGAACGCUGGCGGCAUGCCUAACACAUGCAAGUCGAACGCUUCCGGGGCUUCGGUCGCGGAGGAGUGGCGCACGGGUGAGUAGCGCGUGGGAACCUGCCCUGUUGUGGGGGAUAACCGAGGGAAACUUCGGCUAAUACCGCAUACGCCCCGGGACUUGGUCUUCGGAUUAGGUCUGGGGGGAAAGAUUGAUCGCAGCAGGAGGGGCCCGCGUCGGAUUAGCUGGUUGGUGGGGUAACGGCUCACCAAGGCGAUGAUCCGUAGCUGGUCUGAGAGGAUGAUCAGCCACACUGGGACUGAGACACGGCCCAGACUCCUACGGGAGGCAGCAGUGGGGAAUAUUGGACAAUGGGGGCAACCCUGAUCCAGCAAUGCCGCGUGAGUGAUGAAGGCCUUAGGGUUGUAAAGCUCUUUCGCCCGCGACGAUGAUGACGGUAGCGGGAGAAGAAGCCCCGGCUAACUACGUGCCAGCAGCCGCGGU
rnacentral:rRNA from 1 species